GAAUAUUUUGGCAAGAAACCCUUCAGUCAGCAUGUGAGAAAGCUUCGAGCCAGCAUCACUCCUGGGACCAUCCUGAUCAUCCUCACCGGGCCCCACAGAGGCAAGAGAGUGGUUUUCCUGAAGCAGCUGAGCAGUGGCUUGCUACUUGUGACAGGACCUCUUUCCCUCAAUCGAGUUCCUCUGCGUAGAACACACCAGAAAUUUGUUAUCGCCACCUCCACAAAGAUUGAUAUCAGCAACGUGAAAAUCCCAAAACAUCUCACUGAUGCUUACUUCAAGAAGAAGAAGUUGAGGAAGCCCAGACACCAGGAAGGUGAAAUCUUCGACACAGAGAAAGAGAAAUACGAGAUCACAGAGCAGCGCAAGGUUGAUCAGAAAGCUGUGGACACACAAAUUCUACCCAAAAUCAAAGCUAUCCCUCAGCUCCAGGGCUACAUGUGAUCCGUUUUUGCUCUAACAAAUGGAAUUUAUCCUCACAAAUUGGUAAAAGGCUGA